AGCUUUUAUUUUAUAAGUGCAACACUGUUAAAAGUAAAAUUGACUUCUGUCUCGUGCGCACUUUAUUAAUCGAGGAUUUUACAAAGAAACAGGAACCACUGGUGCUGGAAGACUGUCUAGUUUUAAACAUAAACAAGACUGCAAUUCUUCAGUGGAUGGUAAAAAAUUUUCAAGUAACAGGUUGUGAAAACUCAGACAAAGCUGAACUUUUGCUCAAGAUACUUGUUGCUAACAAUUACGCCGAGCCUUGCCAACUAGAAACCGGAUCACCAGCAAGCAAAAUAAUUUACUCUUUCCAGUUGCAAACUUUGCCCGACCAUAAAAAUUCAAAAGAGCGCAAGGGUUGUGCCAAAAGCUACAAGAAUAAUACCACGAAUAAUUUUUUUUUCUCUUUAAAAAUGAAGGAAAAAAAAGGGUCAAGCAAAGCUUCCUGUCUUGGUCUAUUCAGUGAAGCUAAGAGUUCUAACUUAGAUACAUGUAAAGAAGAACAAGACAACAAUUAUUAUAAGAUCCAAAAUCAUGAACAAGAGGUAGUCCACGCCGAUGAUUAUGACGGUAACAGUAUCGACAAUAAUAUUAAUACCCCUUUCCAAAGCAUAGAAAACGGAACCAUAAAAAAAAUUAAAAAAAAGAGUUCAAGUGAAACUUGUAAAAAAAACUAUUUUCGUAUGUCUUUACAUUUUUUCCCACUCCGUCGAUCUUUUGGGCGACAAAAAUCUUCUGAAUCGAAAGAAAAUUAUCCAAUUUUUUUAAAAGAGGGAAUAAAUAAAUACGAAAAAGUUAAAAUUAAUAAAAAAUCACUAAGUGACCGAACGAGAAAAAAAGAAUCCGUCCGUUUACAUGUAAUCUUUAACGAAGAACAUUAUGUUCAGCAUUUUCCGUUGCAAGCGAGAAUACAGGACAUUACGAACUUUUGCAUAAGUAACUACGAAAUCAAAGAAGCACCAAAAAACGGAAUGAAUUCGGAGGAUUACAACUAUGUGGCCCACGUAGACGGAAGACCACUACCAGCAGAUGGCUAUAUACGUCAUGCAUUAAAAAAAGAUGA